AGAGCUGCCUGCGCGAGGAACGCCUCCGUCCAGUCCGCGCCGGGCCUCGGCAGCGCGAGCAGCACCGGCAGCGCGCUCAGGGAGCAGGCGCGGCGGCGCACCGCCUCACCGCCGUCACCGGGAUCUCCGCGCCGCUACCUCCUCUUCCGUCGCCCUCCUCCCACCCCUCCACCUCCUUCCCCCGCCCCCUCUGCGGCGAAGAGGAGAGGGCCCCCGGCCGCCUCCCUCUCUCCCCGCCCCUGGGGCUGCACGUCAAUGGGCCGGCAGCGCAGGCCUCGGCGGAGCAGCCUGCGGACGGCGUCCGGCCCGGCGGGUGAAGGGGCUGCCGAGUCCUGCUUCGGCGCAGGCCGAUUGCUGAUGCUCCCGCGGCAGUUGCCACCACAGCAGCGGCUCCAGGAGCGCUCUCUCUCUCUUCGAUUUCUCUCUCUCUCUGUCUCUCUCUUUUUUUUUUAAGUUCUGAGCUCGCAGUACUUGGGCUGCGCCGGCGAGAUCUCGCGAGAUGCGGCAGGGCCGCUUCACCUCAGGCGUGUGGUACCCGAGGCGGUGCUAGAGCUGCCGGCCGCCCCCCGCUCCCGUGGGUGAUGCCGGGGGUUUUCCCGUCGGGCCCGCAGGUGCUUCCGGAGUGGCCGCCGAGGGGCGCCCCGAGGCGAGGUCCGCUCGCUGCUCCGGCCCGCCGCUACUGCCGGCCCUCACCCCAGGCCUGAGCCUUAGGGGGAGGCAGGAUUUCCUCUGUGCAGCUUUUGAGGCGGUUGACUCCCCGCCUGGCCGCGUUAGAUUUGCAUAACCAGAAACUCAUUCCAGUGGAGAUGCAGUGGGUGUGUCCACGCUUCGAUGACACCUUUAUUUUAAAAGCUGUGAUGUUUGAAGGUCAUCCUAACCUGUGAUUCCAAUUAAAGAUUUUUAAAAAAGAGAAGAGUUCAGCCCUUCAAGUAUUGGUUUGCACUCCUUAAGCCAGAGGAUUUAUUCCCAAAGGACACAGUGACUAUUAUGUUGGGCCUCAAAAACUGAAAGCACUAAAAAUUACUCUUUGAAGUUUACUACCAGAAUCCAGCGUCUAGACAGACCAAAUCGGACUGGAAUGGGAUCCUUCAAGAGCAUGGACUUUGUACCGGAUGGCCUCUAAGUGUCCUGCUGAUCCUGGAAAUCCCCAUUUAUGACUGAUGAGAAGGUGAUGACGUGUGUUUCUGCUCAGAGUUUCAGGUGGUGAAAAAAUAGGCUAUUUCAUAAGGACCUCUGUGACUUCCUGAACAUUCUCUUUUCAUUGAGGAAGUGACCCUAACUGGAGGACAGCAUCUCCCAUGGCAGCAGGAGGAGAGAAGGCAGGUGAGUAAUGAGGUGACCCCUUAUUCUACAGAGCACACAAGGGUCUGUGUGCUCCAUGAAUCACAAUAGAUUUCCUAAUGCAGACUUGGAUAUCAUCUUAAUCGAUCUAAGACAGUGGUGAAAUUAAAUGGUGCCCAAAAUCUAGGCAACAGUAUUUUUGUCCUAGGGUCUGUGAAAUUCCAUGAGAAAAGUGUUCAGAAAGAGCUGAAUUGAGUGAAGGAUUUGGGGAGUUGAAGAAGUAUUCAAACAAAACCAGUUUAAUUUAUAUGAACCCCCCAGUGAGGAAAGCAUUGAGAAUGGGAAUUUUGAAAUAAAAAUUUUCCACAUUACUUCACAGGUUCUGCUUCCUUACUGAAUGUUGCUUGUUUGCUUUUAUAAAUAAUAUUUCCUCCAGCUGGCACCCUUAGACAGGAUCCAUUCAGAUGAAUGUCAUGGAGCAUUGAGCAAUUCCAGUACCUUUCUCAAUGAAAACUUAAAGGUUAUGUUAUUCUCCCUAUCCUUUCCUUUUGAGUGGCUAUGAAGGAAGUUGUUGAUAUUAUUGUUAAUGUUUCAAAGAAAACUAUAGCUGCUAGUUAUUUUCUUAAGUGAGGCAGAGCUCCUGGCCUUGGAAAUGUCCUUGAAGAUAGGCUUUUUUAGGUGUUACUACUACUUCUCAAAGAGUAAAGGAUAGGAAUAGAAGUCUUUAGUCUUCCAUUAGUUUGCUCUCAUUUCUUUCCGGAGUGUGAUUAUGGUUAGGUAUCUUGCUCUUGGGUGGAGGUAUACACAGCUAGUUUGACAACCUGGUUGGCCUGAUGUGCUGAGGGGCACAAGGAGUCAGAAUUUUGGAAAUGCCCAUGAUUUCCAUCAGCAAAGAAAAUAUUGGCUGGUUGGCAACUGAGGGUCAAAUCAAUAAUGAUUCUUUUGUGUGGGCACAGUUGGAAAAGAAUGCCUUUCACCAAUUUUAAUAAAACCUCUGAAACAUAAUUGUAAAGGGGCAUUGGGGAAAAUCCUGUGACCUAUUUGGAAUGUAUAAGAAGGACUCUCAGGGUGACCCUGGUGGUCAGAGAGAGAAUGGAGCUCUGGGGAUGGACCUAAUGAGAGCAAUCCUACAAGCUCAUUGACUGAGAAAUAAAGCAGAGACUUAAAGAAUUAAAAGAAUUUAUUGGCUAACAUGGGGCAAAGUUAGACAAAUAUAGGCUUGUAGCCUUUAAUCCAUGUAGUGGAAAGAGGCUGGUUCAUUAGGAAAAUCAUAUUUCGUAUGGGAUUGGGAAAAUAAGUAGAGAGAAGAAGAAUAUGUUAAGGACACAGCAGAAUGUGAAUUUCAAUACUAAGGUGGCCUAAUGGAGACUUCUCGACUCUCCCAAGGGCAUAUGGAUCAACCAACCUGGCACUCAGUAAUAAAAAAACAAAGGGACUCUUUCUGACCAAAGACCUUGGCAGAUGGUAGGGGGAAAGAGGUGUGGUUGCAAACAGCCCAAGGCUUUUUCAACAUCAACUGUAUCCACAGAUUUGAAAAGACUGACUUUGCCCAAACAAAAUGUGAGAGAGACAUCUGUAUGAUCAGAUUACCAUCUACUAUUGCUGUCAGGAACUACCCAGAGGACAAGUAUAAACCAACCAAACACCAUAAUAGACACCUUUUGGGGAGGGCAGGUGUGCCUGGGUUUUUCUAUGGCCAUGCAGAGCCGAUAGGCAAGGGGUUUUGCUGGAUUUGGGAACUUAUUGAGGAAUAUUGACGGGCACUGGCUCCCCCUCUCCUUGGAAAUUUUACCUUCCAGCCCAGCACCAAGGAAAGCAUCCAGCAUGCACCACAGACAUAGUCUAAACCUGAAACUGUCAUUCACUGUGCUUGGAGACCUAAGGGAGUUUGAACAUUCUCUGACUCUGCAGGAGCACUUCACACUUGAGGGCCAUUUUAUCUGUCACGCUUCAGAACUUUUCAUCUGUAGAGGUCUGUGCUCUGAAACCAGUCAUGUGGCCUUGUCACUUCCUGGAGCCUCUAGUAGAGUGUCCUUUCCCAGACAGUCCCAGAGCUCAUCACCUGCUGUCUCUGCCCUGAUGACAUCUUACCAAGUAAGGCCUUCUCCUGUCACUCUGUAUAAAAUAAAACCUCUCUCCUAGGAUCCCUAUCCCCUUUUCAUAUUGUUUGUCUCUUUAGCUUUUUCACCCUCUGUUACUUUAUAUAUUGGCUAGUUUAUCUGCUUGGCGUAUUUCCUGCCCCACUAGAAUAUAAGUUCCACGAGGGCAGGAUGUUGUCUGUUUUGUUUACUGCUUCGUCCCACCACAGGUAUCCUGUAAAUAUUUUGGAAAUAAAUGAAUGAGGCCUUAAGCAGAGGUUUUAAGUUUAUCUGGUCUCUUUCAAUUUCUUCAGCCCUGUGGGUUGUUUGGGCCCCAUGGGUGAGUAACAGAUGGAAAGGGCUUUUUGCAAAGGGUGUAACCGAAACUAAUUAAUGUACCCAAGCACAAAGUGAAAGUUCUUCACUCUGAGAAGGACAAACAGUUGUCAGUCAUUGUUUCUUGAUUAUCUUUCCAAGGCAGGGUCCUCCCAAGUCUAGAAUGUUGUCUUUGGUCUUUAAGGAAAAAGUAACAAGACAAUUGUUUCACAGGUGCCUCUGGCACAUGCCAGCAUCUAGUAAUGAUUGACUUGUUUCUGGAUUUUAAUGCCUUUAAAUCAUCCUACUGUCCUUUGAAACCAAGGCAGCCAAGAGAGCUUAGGAAAUACUUAUUAUCUUAAAAUUAAGUUAACAGAAAGAUUCAUAAUUGACUGUUAGCCCUUCGGUUCCAUGGUUUCUGAGUAUCAUCUUGUAUCUGAAGGUUUUUCUGGCAGUUGCAUUCUGCCAUCGAGAAAACUUGUCACCCAUUAGAAAAGCUUCUUCAGACAUCAGUGGGCUUGAGGACCACCUGAGUAGGUAUUUGAUCUCUCACGUUCUUUCUUCUCGGUAACUCCAAAUUCCAGAUGUCAGGGACAAUCAAUUUGAGCUGGGUUUUAUGACCUACUGUGGGAUUCUUGGACAAAGUUAGAUUCAACACUAAUAAAAUGGAGAUAAACACAUCAAGUCUGUGAAAACCUGUUUGCCAACUCCACAUUAAUUGCAGAAUUUAGAAGAGAUUCAUGGGAUCAUUAGAAAAAUGAGUUCUCCAAUCUUUUGUCAACUGUGGAUCAAGAAAAGGAGUUAAGAUAACUCUUUGGAUUUCUUAAAAAAGAGUCUGGUAUUUAAAUGAAUCUAACAGCCCCAGGAUGCCCUAUACAAGCCACAGCCCUUUCUACUCUCAGUACCAUAGCCUCCGUCUGUGACAUUGUGGAGGCAGCUCAUACAGGCAUGUGAGAGCAAGUUGUCAGAAUUUCAGGAAAGUUGGGAGCUGGUUGAUCUAACAGCAGUAGCUUAAAAAGGGCCAUGGCAGGAGGAAGUAAACCACUGAGAUAGGCCAGCACUGGGAAUCAGGGUUCCUCCAGAACUCCAGGGAGCUGGUUGUUAAACAUUCACUAGCACGCCACUAGCCCUCAGUAUCCUUCAACACUGCAAGAAGUCCUUUGCCUGCCUGACGCGUGUGUGUGUGUGUGUGUGUGUGUGUGUGUGUACAUAUACACGUGAAAUAAAAAAUAUUUAAAAUAUUUUGUAAAAACAAAAAAGGAUAAAAGUUUCCCAGAAAAUGGAGAUGAAGGUUGCCCGACUGAGUAUAAACACCUCAUAGACAAUGGACUAUUCAUCUGUGCUGAGGAACUGGAGCCUAACCAUCGUUCCACAUACUCCAGGUGUGACACCAGUGACUUUUCACUCUUAGACCAGCUGUUGAAUCUCCCUAUAAGUUCUGGGGAUCCAAGCAGAGAGUAAACGUCUUUGUGAAAAGGUAUCAGCGGGCAUGAGGCCGUAUACAAUAUACACAUACUAUGAAUAUAUCUAAAAAGAAACAACCAUCAGAAGGCCUGGAUCCUUUGCUAACUUUCACUCUAGAGUUAAAUAUUUGCCAAGAAGUAAGCUUCUUCCACUUCAGAUCUUUAAAGUUAUGUUAUAGAAGUGACCACCCAGCCUCAAUAAAAGAGAAUAUGGAUUAUCAUACCAAUGACUACACCACGUGAGAUAAAGGCAAUCUCCCUGCAACUUCAAAUAUUCCUCUGGAAAUAACACGCGCAUUGUUUACCCUACCUGAGAACCACCUGUAUUUGUAUAGCAAUCACACUUGAAAGAUACUAAGAGUCCAGGGCCGAGCCCCAAAGGCAGGGUCUGUUGACAUAAUUAGGUGGUAACUCUCCAACUCCCAAAGUUCUUUUGACGAUAAGAAAGAGACACCUCUUGCUCUGUAGGAAACUCCUUUUCAGUUUGUUUUCUAGUAAUUGCCUAGUUUAUUCCCUUCCUGCUGUUCAGUGGUUACUUUAUUUAGGGACAGUAGAGGAUUUUUACCUGGUUCCAUGGGCUUAAACAGUUCUGGAAAAGUGGCUGUGCACCUGCACCCGAGAAGAGUAGAUGCGUAUUAACUAUUUUACAAAACAAACAACUCCAGGAUGCCUUGCAACUGCUAAUAACCUCCCUGGAACAGCCCAGCACUGCUGGAUUGUCCCUUUCCACUGUUAGUUCAUACGCAAAGUGGUAGGAUAUUGCCACCUUUGCUCAAAUGCAAGAAAAUCAGAAGAUGCUGUGACCUGAAAGUGCUGGUACUUCCAGCUCCAGUUGGUUUCAGAGGAAACUUCCGGUGGCUGUCACCGGCUACAAAGUAGAUGACAUGUGUCUUGUACUCUUUGACUUAUUCCUUUCCUGAAGAUAACACUCAGGAUCUUUCACCUCUCCUUGCCUCUGAAUAGGCUGCUCCCUCUGCUUAGAUCUCUCUCGUGCUCACCUCCAUUUUCACUUGGCCAUUUUGGAAUCAUCAUUCACUUCCCCAUAUUGGAAUCGUCAACUCAGCUAUCACGCCAUGCCUGAAGGCUUCCCUGAGGAAUCCUCAUCUCCAGCCUGGGUAAGGGAUGGUUCCUCUGAGUUCUUACAGUAAUUUUUGAUGAUUGCCAUCAUCCCAUAUGGCAUAAUGUGCAAUAUAUCCUAGGUAUGGUUAGCCUCUUUCUUAAAGCAGUGGUUCUGAAUUUGGGUUAUAUGUAGGAUGAUGUCAGUACAUAGCCCUUUACAUUAUGUUGGGCUCACCACAAGUGUAACUACCAUCUGCCCCACCCAAGACUAUGACAGUGUCAUUGAGUACAUUCUUUAUGCUGUGCCUUUUAUUCCCAUGACUUACCCAUUCCGGAAUGGGAAGUCAGUAUCUCCAACUCUUCUGCAGCUAUUUUGCCCAUCACCCUGUUUCCCUUCCCUCUGGACACUUAUCAGUUUGUUCUCUGUGUUUAUAGGUCUGAUUCUGCUUUUUCUUUGUUUACUCAUUUGUUUUGCUUUUUAGAUUACACAUGUAAGUAAAAUCACAUGGUAGUUGUCUCGGUCUGACUUAUUUCACUUAGCACAACACCCGUCCAUCCAUCAUCCUUUCUUAUAGCUGUGUAAUAUUCCAUUGUGUGUGUGUGCAUGUGUGUGUGUGUGAGAGAGAGAGAGAGACAGAGACAGAGGGAGGGAGGGAGGG